GGGUUGUGAGGUUAAGCGACUAAGCGUACACGGUGGAUGCCCUGGCAGUCAGAGGCGAUGAAGGGCGUGCUAAUCUGCGAUAAGCGCCGGUAAGGUGAUAUGAACCGUUAUAACCGGCGAUACCCGAAUGGGGAAACCCAGUGUGACUUGUCACACUAUCAUUAACUGAAUCCAUAGGUUAAUGAGGCGAACCGGGGGAACUGAAACAUCUAAGUACCCCGAGGAAAAGAAAUCAACCGAGAUUCCCCCAGUAGCGGCGAGCGAACGGGGAGGAGCCCAGAGCCUGAAUCAGCAUGUGUGUUAGUGGAAGCGUCUGGAAAGGCGCGCGAUACAGGGUGACAGCCCCGUACACAAAAGCGCAUGUGCUGUGAGCUCGAUGAGUAGGGCGGGACACGUGGUAUCCUGUCUGAAUAUGGGGGGACCAUCCUCCAAGGCUAAAUACUCCUGACUGACCGAUAGUGAACCAGUACCGUGAGGGAAAGGCGAAAAGAACCCCGGCGAGGGGAGUGAAAAAGAACCUGAAACCGUGUACGUACAAGCAGUGGGAGCACCCUUUUGGGUGUGACUGCGUACCUUUUGUAUAAUGGGUCAGCGACUUAUAUUCUGUAGCAAGGUUAACCGAAUAGGGGAGCCGGAGGGAAACCGAGUCUUAAUUGGGCGUUAAGUUGCAGGGUAUAGACCCGAAACCCGGUGAUCUAGCCAUGGGCAGGUUGAAGGUUGGGUAACACUAACUGGAGGACCGAACCGACUAAUGUUGAAAAAUUAGCGGAUGACCUGUGGCUGGGGGUGAAAGGCCAAUCAAACCGGGAGAUAGCUGGUUCUCCCCGAAAGCUAUUUAGGUAGCGCCUCGUGAAUUCAUCUCCGGGGGUAGAGCACUGUUUCGGCUAGGGGGCCAUCCCGGCUUACCAACCCGAUGCAAACUGCGAAUACCGGAGAAUGUUAUCACGGGAGACACACGGCGGGUGCUAACGUCCGUCGUGAAGAGGGAAACAACCCAGACCGCCAGCUAAGGUCCCAAAGUCAUGGUUAAGUGGGAAACGAUGUGGGAAGGCCCAGACAGCCAGGAUGUUGGCUUAGAAGCAGCCAUCAUUUAAAGAAAGCGUAAUAGCUCACUGGUCGAGUCGGCCUGCGCGGAAGAUGUAACGGGGCUAAACCAUGCACCGAAGCUGCGGCAGCGAACGUAUCACUUAAAGCGAUUCAGCGGGUUACGAUUGACGGAGCGAAGCGACGUCAAAGCGUAUACAAAGUCGAGUCGGUUUAAGGAUACGUUCGUUGGGUAGGGGAGCGUUCUGUAAGCCUG
rnacentral:rRNA from 1 species